rnacentral:rRNA from 1 species
AUUGAACGCUGGCGGCAGGCCUAACACAUGCAAGUCGAGCGGAUGAAGGGAGCUUGCUCCUGGAUUCAGCGGCGGACGGGUGAGUAAUGCCUAGGAAUCUGCCUGGUAGUGGGGGAUAACGUCCGGAAACGGGCGCUAAUACCGCAUACGUCCUGAGGGAGAAAGUGGGGAUCUUCGGACCUCACGCUAUCAGAUGAGCCUAAGUCGGAUUAGCUAGUUGGUGGGGUAAAGGCCUACCAAGGCGACGAUCCGUAACUGGUCUGAGAGGAUGAUCAGUCACACUGGAACUGAGACACGGUCCAGACUCCUACGGGAGGCAGCAGUGGGGAAUAUUGGACAAUGGGCGAAAGCCUGAUCCAGCCAUGCCGCGUGUGUGAAGAAGGUCUUCGGAUUGUAAAGCACUUUAAGUUGGGAGGAAGGGCAGUAAGUUAAUACCUUGCUGUUUUGACGUUACCAACAGAAUAAGCACCGGCUAACUUCGUG